rnacentral:rRNA from 1 species
GAUGAACGCUGGCGGCGUGCUUAACACAUGCCAGUCGAACGGGAAACCUUUUAAUGAAGCUUCGGCAGAUUUAGCUGGUUUCUAGUGGCGGACGGGUGAGUAACGCGUGGGUAACCUGCCUUAUACAGGGGGAUAACAGUCAGAAAUGACUGCUAAUACCGCAUAAGCGCACAGGACCGCAUGGUCCGGUGUGAAAAACUCCGGUGGUAUAAGAUGGACCCGCGUUGGAUUAGCUUGUUGGUGGGGUAACGGCUCACCAAGGCGACGAUCCAUAGCCGGCCUGAGAGGGUGAACGGCCACAUUGGGACUGAGACACGGCCCAGACUCCUACGGGAGGCAGCAGUGGGGAAUAUUGCACAAUGGGGGAAACCCUGAUGCAGCGACGCCGCGUGAAGGAAGAAGUAUCUCGGUAUGUAAACUUCUAUCAGCAGGGAAGAUAGUGACGGUACCUGACGAAGAAGCCCCGGCUAACUACGUG